UAUGCUAAAGCUGCUGCGGUUAAAAAGCUCGUAGUUGGAUCUCAGUUGCGGGCGGGUGGUGCAUCUACCCGAUGUGACAGCCCGAUCUGAACAUCUUGCCUUCUAUCCUCUGGUGUCCUUCACUGGAUGCCUUUGGGUGGUCGGUGCAUUUACUUUGAAAAAAUUGGAGUGCUCAACGCAGGCGAAGUGCCUGAACACUUAUGCAUGGAAUAAUAGAACAAGACCCCGUUUCUGUUCUGUUGGUUUUUGGAAAACGAGGUAAUGAUCAAGAGGGACUGACGGGGGCAUUCGUAUUGCGGCGCUAGAGGUGAAAUUCUUGGACCGUCGCAAGACGAACUACAGCGAAAGCAUUUGCCAAGAAUGUUUUCAUUGAUCAAGAACGAAAGUUAGAGGUUCGAAGGCGAUCAGAUACCGCCCUAGUUCUAACCAUAAACGAUGCCAACCAGCAAUCCGCCUGAGUUACUCCAAUGACUCUGCGGGCAGCUUCCGGGAAACCAAAGUAUUUGGGUUCCGGGGGAAGUAUGG
rnacentral:rRNA from 2 species